UACGAAGGGGGCUAGCGUUGCUCGGAAUUACUGGGCGUAAAGUGCACGUAGGCGGAUUGUUAAGUCGGGGGUGAAAUCCUGGAGCUCAACUCCAGAACUGCCUUCGAUACUGGCGAUCUCGAGUUCGGGAGAGGUGAGUGGAACUGCGAGUGUAGAGGUGAAAUUCGUAGAUAUUCGCAAGAACACCAGUGGCGAAGGCGGCUCACUGGCCCGAUACUGACGCUGAGGUGCGAAAGCGUGGGGAGCAAACAGG
rnacentral:rRNA from 1 species